CCUACGGGUGGCAGCAGUGAGGAAUAUUGGUCAAUGGACGAGAGUCUGAACCAGCCAAGUAGCGUGAAGGAUGACUGCCCUAUGGGUUGUAAACUUCUUUUAUAUGGGAAUAAAAUGUUCCACGUGUGGGAUUUUGUAUGUACCAUAUGAAUAAGGAUCGGCUAACUCCGUGCCAGCAGCCGCGGUAAUACGGAGGAUCCGAGCGUUAUCCGGAUUUAUUGGGGUUAAAGGGAGCGUAGGUGGAUUGUUAAGUCAGUUGUGAAAGUUUGCGGCUCAACCGUAAAAUUGCAGUUGAAACUGGCAGUCUUGAGUACAGUAGAGGUGGGCGGAAUUCGUGGUGUAGCGGUGAAAUGCUUAGAUAUCACGAAGAACUCCGAUUGCGAAGGCAGCUCACUGGACUGCAACUGACGCUGAGGAGCGAAAGCGUGGGUAGCAAACAGGAUUAGAUACCCCAGUAGUC
rnacentral:rRNA from 1 species